GCAUCAGUGCUCAGAAAGUUGUUCCACCUUCCACCAAGAUGCUGGAUGAGGAGGACACUGACAAAGACGGGAUGAGUUUGGAGGUCGACACUCCAGUGACGAACCAUCGGGGUGACGACGACGAUGACGAAGAAGAUCUCCCCGAGAUAGUGCUGGAUGACGUGCCUGCGGUGAGGGUG